GACGAACCACACGAACGUUAUUCGGAAUUACUGGGCUUAAAGGGUGCGUAGGCGGCGCCGGUAAGUAGGGUGUGAAAUCCCUCGGCUCAACCGAGGAACUGCGCUCUAAACUACCGUGCUCGAGGGAGAUAGAGGUGAGCGGAACUUAGGGUGGAGCGGUGAAAUGCGUGAUAUCCUAAGGAACACCGGUGGCGAAAGCGGCUCACUGGA
rnacentral:rRNA from 1 species